rnacentral:rRNA from 1 species
CCCUUAGAUGUCCUGGGCCGCACGCGCGUUACACUGAUGCAUUCAACGAGCUUAUAACCUUGGCCGAGAGGCCUGGGCAAUCUUGUUAACGUGCAUCGUGAUAGGGAUAGAUUAUUGGAAUUAUUAAUCUUGAACGAGGAAUUCCUAGUAAACGCAGAUCAUCAAUCUGCAUUGAUUACGUCCCUGCCCUUUGUACACACCGCCCGUCGCACCUACCGAUUGGAUGGUCCGGUGAAGCCUCGGGAUUGUGGUUCUUGCCGCUUUAUUGUGGCGUGACCGCGAGAACUUGUCUAAACCUUAUCAUCUAGAGGAAGGUGAAGUCGUAACA